ACCCUUAGUCUAUAAAAGGAACCCAAAAUCUCAGGUUUUUUACUUUUUUUUCUUUGACGACGGCAGAACAUCCAUUAGUUCCAAAUAAUAAAAUCUGUUUUAUGCAACUUAAUUCUCGAGUACCACGUUAGGAGUACUAUAUAUAUACCCUCCCUCUAGCGCACCUUCCUCCUUCACAAGGGGCAAGGGGCUUUGAUCUUCAUAUAUGCUUUAGAGGGAAAAUAAGGCUAUGUUUGACUUCAUUAGAGCUGUUCAGAGAUUAUCUGAAUAAUGCCAAAAUCUAUUUAGUUUACUAAAAGGUAUAAUUGUUGUUUUAUGGCUUAAUAUGGUGAGUUCCACUACCAGGGAGUUGUGUUUUCACUUCUUUAGCUUGCUAGUUGAGUUCAAUACUAGUCAUGCUUUGGAUGCAAGCAGGAAGGUAGAUUGGGUGGCUUCUUAAUUAAGCAUAUGUGUGUAUUUUUUUUUAUGUGUGUAUUUUUUUUGGUAAACCAAAAGUAUCAUCCGCUCGCUGCGUGUCAUGUUUUAUGAAUGCGGAGAAACAAAAAAAUAAUUAUAUGUGGAGAACUAUAUGGCUGCAAAGAAUGUGGAUGAUGGGUGUGGAGGACUUAUUCGUGGAAGUUGUGGUGAGUUUGUAGUGCUCGUGUUGCGUAGC